rnacentral:rRNA from 1 species
AGGAUAAACGCUGGCGGCGUGCCUAACACAUGCAAGUCGAACGUCCUUGCGGUCUUCUUCUUCGGAGGAGGACCGCGAGGGAGUGGCGGACGGGUGAGUAACACAUGGGUACCUACCUUGGAGUGAGGGAUACCGGCGAGAAAUCGCCGACAAUACCGCAUAGGCUUCUUCACAAGGGAAGCAAAGUGACGCGAGUCACGCUGUGAGAUGGGCCUGUGGCCGAUUAGCUAGUUGGGGGGUAACGGCUUCCCAAGGCGACGAUCGGUAGCUGGUCUGAGAGGACGAUCAGCCACACUGGGAUUGAGAACGGCCCAGACUCCUACGGGGGGCAGCAGUGAGGAAUUUUCCGCAAUGGAGGCAACUCUGACGGAGCAACGCCGCGUGCAGGAGGAAGGUUUUCGGAUCGUAAACUGCUUUUCUCGGGGACGAGCAAGGACGGUACCCGAGGAAGAAGCCCCGGCUAACGUACGUGCCAGCAGCCGC